rnacentral:rRNA from 1 species
CGAGCGAGUCUGCCUUGAAGGUCGGAGUGCUUGCACUCUGUGAAACAAGAUACAGGCUAGCGGCGGACGGGUGAGUAACACGUGGGUAACCUGCCCAAGAGAUCGGGGAUAACACCUGGAAACAGAUGCUAAUACCGGAUAACAACAGAUGAUGCCUAUCAACUGUUUAAAAAGAUGGUUCUGCUAUCACUCUUGGAUGGACCUGCGGUGCAUUAGCUAGUUGGUAGGGUAACGGCCUACCAAGGCGAUGAUGCAUAGCCGAGUUGAGGGACUGAUCGGCCACAUUGGGACUGAGACACGGCCCAAACUCCUACGGGAGGCAGCAGUAGGGGAAUCUUCCACAAUGGACGCAAGUCUGAUGGAGCAACGCCGCGUGAGUGAAGAAGGGUUUCGGCUCGUAAAGCUCUGUUGUUGGUGAAGAAGGACAGGGGGUAGUAACUGACCUUUGUUUGACGGUAAUCAAUUAGAAAAGUCACGGGCUAACUACGUGCCAGCAGCCCGGGUAAAU